rnacentral:rRNA from 1 species
AGUCAAGUAAUUAAGUGCAUGUGGUGGAUGCCUUGGCAGUCAGAGGCGAUGAAAGACGUGAUAGCCUGCGAAAAGCUCCGGGAGGCGGCAAAUAUCCUUUGAUCCGGAGAUGUCUGAAUGGGGGAACCCACCUACUUUAAGGUAGGUAUUGCAACAUGAAUACAUAGUGUUGCAAGGCGAACGAGGGGAAGUGAAACAUCUCAGUACCCUUAGGAAAAGAAAUCAAUUGAGAUUCCCUCAGUAGCGGCGAGCGAACGGGGAUCAGCCCAUUAAGUUAUGUGUGUUUUAGUGGAACGCUCUGGGAAGUGCGAACGUAGAGGGUGAUAUUCCCGUACACGAAAGGGCACACAUAAUGAUGACGAGUAGGGCGAGGCACGUGAAACCUUGUCUGAAUAUGGGGGGACCAUCCUCCAAGGCUAAAUACUCCUGACUGACCGAUAGUGAACCAGUACCGUGAGGGAAAGGCGAAAAGAACCCCUGUGAGGGGAGUGAAAUAGAUCCUGAAACCGCAUGCAUACAAGCAGUGGGAGCACCUUCGUGGUGUGACUGCGUACCUUUUGUAUAAUGGGUCAGCGACUUAUAUUCAGUAGCGAGGUUAACCGUAUAGGGGAGCCGUAGAGAAAUCGAGUCUUAAUAGGGCGUUUAGUUGCUGGGUAUAGACCCGAAACCAGGCGAUCUAUCCAUGAGCAGGUUGAAGGUUGGGUAACACUAACUGGAGGACCGAACCCACUGUCGUUGAAAAGCCAGGGGAUGACUUGUGGAUAGGGGUGAAAGGCUAAUCAAGCCUGGUGAUAGCUGGUUCUCCCCGAAAGCUAUUUAGGUAGCGCCUCGGACGAAUACCAUAGGGGGUAGAGCACUGUUUCGGCUAGGGGGUCAUCCCGACUUACCAAACCGAUGCAAACUCCGAAUACCUAUGAGUACUAUCCGGGAGACAGACUGCGGGUGCUAACGUCCGUAGUCAAGAGGAAAACAAUCCAGACCGCCAGCUAAGGCCCCAAAAUCAUAGUUAAGUGGGAAACGAUGUGGGAAGGCAUAGACAGCUAGGAGGUUGGCUUAGAAGCAGCCACCCUUUAAAGAAAGCGUAAUAGCUCACUAGUCGAGUCGGCCUGCGCGGAAGAUGUAACGGGGCUAAAACUAUGUGCCGAAGCUGCGGAUGUAUACUUUGUAGACGUGGUAGGGAGCGUUCUGUAAGCCGAUGAAGGUGUGUUGAGAAGCAUGCUGGAGGUAUCAGAAGUGCGAAUGCUGACGUGAGUAACGACAAAACGGGUGAAAAACCCGUUCGCCGAAAGACCAAGGGUUCCAGUCCAACGUUAAUCGGGGCUGGGUGAGUCGACCCCUAAGGCGAGGCCGAAAGGCGUAGUCGAUGGGAAAAUGGUUAAUAUUCCAUUACUUCUGUGUAAUGCGAUGAGAGGACGGAGAAGGCUAAAUCAGCCUGGCGUUGGUUGUCCAGGUGAAAGGAUGUAGGCAUGUAUCUUAGGCAAAUCCGGGGUACUCUAUGCUGAGAUCUGAUAGCAAGCUGUACUUGUACAGCGAAGUGGUUGAUGCCAUGCUUCCAGGAAAAGUCUCUAAGCUUCAGUUACACAGGAAUCGUACCCGAAACCGACACAGGUGGUCAGGUCGAGUAGACCAAGGCGCUUGAGAGAACUCUGCUGAAGGAACUAGGCAAAAUGGUACCGUAACUUCGGGAGAAGGUACGCUGUUGUUGGUGAUGGAACUCGCUUCCUGAGCUGACGACAGCCGCAGAAACCAGGCCGCUGCAACUGUUUAUUAAAAACAUAGCACUCUGCAAACACGAAAGUGGACGUAUAGGGUGUGAUGCCUGCCCGGUGCUGGAAGGUUAAUUGAUGGGGUUAGCGUAAGCGAAGCUCUUGAUCGAAGCCCCAGUAAACGGCGGCCGUAACUAUAACGGUCCUAAGGUAGCGAAAUUCCUUGUCGGGUAAGUUCCGACCUGCACGAAUGGCAUAAUGAUGGCGGCGCUGUCUCCAGCAGAGGCUCAGUGAAAUCGAAAUCGCUGUGAAGAUGCAGUGUACCCGCGGCUAGACGGAAAGACCCCGUGAACCUUUACUGCAGCUUGACACUGAACUUUGACCUUACUUGUGUAGGAUAGGUGGGAGGCUUUGAAGCUGGAACGCUAGUUCCAGUGGAGCCGUCCUUGAAAUACCACCCUGGUAAUGUUGAGGUUCUAACUCUGUCCCGUGAUCCGGGACGAGGACCGUGUCUGGUGGGUAGUUUGACUGGGGCGGUCUCCUCCUAAAGAGUAACGGAGGAGUACGAAGGUGCGCUCAGCGUGGUCGGAAAUCACGCGUAGAGUAUAAAGGCAAAAGCGCGCUUAACUGCGAGACCCACAAGUCGAGCAGGUACGAAAGUAGGUCUUAGUGAUCCGGUGGUUCUGUAUGGAAGGGCCAUCGCUCAACGGAUAAAAGGUACUCUGGGGAUAACAGGCUGAUACCGCCCAAGAGUUCAUAUCGACGGCGGUGUUUGGCACCUCGAUGUCGGCUCAUCUCAUCCUGGGGCUGAAGCAGGUCCCAAGGGUAUGGCUGUUCGCCAUUUAAAGAGGUACGCGAGCUGGGUUUAGAACGUCGUGAGACAGUUCGGUCCCUAUCUACCGUGGGCGCUGGAAAUUUGAGAGGAUCUGCUCCUAGUACGAGAGGACCAGAGUGGACGAACCUCUGGUGUACCGGUUGUGACGCCAGUCGCAUCGCCGGGUAGCUAUGUUCGGAAGGGAUAACCGCUGAAAGCAUCUAAGCGGGAAGCCUACCUCAAGAUAAGAUUUCCCUAGGACUUUAUGUCCUCUAAAGAGCCGUUCGAGACUAGGACGUUGAUAGGUUGGAUGUGGAAGCAUAGUGAUAUGUGAAGCUGACCAAUACUAAUUGCUCGUGAGGCUUGACUAU